GGGCCGGUAGCUCAGUGGUAGAGCACGCGGCUUUUAACCGCGGUGCCGUGGGUUCGAUCCCCACCCGGCUCACCA
rnacentral:tRNA from 1 species